UCAAGCUACAAAGAGCACAAGGGGAAUGCCUUGGCACCGAGAGCCGAAGAAGGACGUGACUAACUGCGAUAAGCUGCGGGGAGCCGUAAGUAGGCUUUGAUCCGCAGAUUUCCGAAUGGAGCAAUCCGGCAAGAGGAAAGUCUUGUCAUCAUAUACUGAAUACAUAGGUAUAUGAGGGGAACCGCCUGAACUGAAACAUCUAAGUAGGGCGAGGAAGAGAAAUCAACUGAGAUUCCGUAAGUAGUGGCGAGCGAACGCGGAAGAGGCCAAACCGAGAGUAGUAAUACUUUCGGGGUUCGGACAGAAUACGGCAUUGUAAAGGUUUAGUGGAAUGGAAUGGGAAGUCCAACCGAAGAAGGUGAGAGUCCUGUACACGAAAAGCCUGAACAGCCAUCUGUAUCCAGAGUACCGCCGGACACGUGAAACCCGGUGGGAAUAUGGGGGGACCAUCCUCCAAGCCUAAAUACUACUCGGUGACCGAUAGUGAAGAAGUACUGUGAAGGAAAGGUGAAAAGUACCCCUGACGGGGAGUGAAAAAGAACCUGAAACCUUGUGUUUACAAGCACCGAAAGCUCAUCAAAGAGCGAUCGGGUACCUUUUGUAGAAUGGUCCGGCGAGUGAAUGUAACCGGCGAGGUUAAGCACUUAAGGUGUGAAGCCGCAGCGAGAGCAAGUCUGAAUAGGGCGUAUGAAGUCGGUUGUAUUCGACCCGAAACCGGGUGACCUACCCAUGGUCAGGUUGAAGUAAAGGUAAAACUUUAUGGAGGACCGAACCGACUCCCGUUGAAAUGGUAGCGGAUGAACUGUGGGUAGCGGAGAAAUUCCAAUCGAACCCGGAGAUAGCUGGUUCUCCCCGAAAUAGUUUUAGGACUAGCCUCAAGUUAGAUACCUGGAGGUAAAGCACUGAAUAGCCUAGCGGCCGAGAGGUUAGCGAAGCUUAUCAAACUCAGAAUGCCAGAGUAUUGAUGCUUGGGAGUCAGACAGUGUCAGAUAAAUGUCAUUGUCAAAAGGGAAACAGCCCAGAUCUACAGCUAAGGUCCCAAAGUCAGGUUAAGUGGAAAACGAUGUGAAGAUACGUAGACAACCAGGAUGUUGGCUCAGAAGCAGCCACACAUUCAAAGAGUGCGUAAUAGCUCACUGGUCGAGCGUCUUUGCGCGGAGAAUUUAACGGGGCUAAACCUGACACCGAAGCUUAGGCAAUGUAGUAAUACAUUGGGUAGGGGAGCGUUGUAUACGCGGUGAAACAGUAGCGCAAGCGGCUGUGGAGUGUAUAGAAGUGAGAAUGCCGGAAUGAGUAGCGCGAAUGCAGUGAGAAUCUGCAUGGCCGAAAGCCUCAGGUUUCUGGAGGAAGGUUCGUCCGCUCCAGGUUAGUCGGGAGCUAAGGUGAGGCCUAACGGCGUAGCCGAUGCACAGACGGUAGAGAUUCCGUCACCACCAAAAGAGUUAAACACAGGGACACAUUUGAAGUCUCGGAGCCGGGUGUUGGUUCCGGUAGCGAUCGAGGGAAAUUAGUACCGAAGUCCGGGAUGGAAGAUGGCGAGAAAAGCUGUGUGUAUUUCUGCGGUGCCCGUACCGCAAACCGACACAGGUAGGUAGGAAGAAGAUUCUAAGGCCAACGGGAGAAGGGUUGUUAAGGAACUCGGCAAAUUGACCCCGUAACUUCGGGAGAAGGGGUGCUCUAGAGAUAGAGCCGCAGAGAAUCGGCCCAAGCAACUGUUUACCAAAAACACAGGUUUGUGCUAAAUCGAAAGAUGACGUAUACGAGCUGACGCCUGCCCGGUGCUGGAAGGUUAAGAGGAGAUGUGCAAGCAUUGAAUCGAAGCCCCAGUGAACGGCGGCCGUAACUAUAACGGUCCUAAGGUAGCGAAAUUCCUUGUCAGGUAAGUUCUGACCCGCAUGAAAGGCGUAAUGAUUUGGGCACUGUCUCGACAGCCCGCCCGGCGAAAUUGUAGUACCGGUGAAGAUGCCGGUUACCCGCGACAAGACGGAAAGACCCCAUGGAGCUUUACUGUAGCCUAAUAUUGGGUUUCGAUGUUGCAUGCACAGGAUAGAUGGGACACAGGGAAACAAGUGCUUUGGCAUUUGUGGAGUGGCCGUUGGGAUACCAUCCUUGCGAUAUUGGAAUUCUAACCUGCGCCUUUGAAUCAAGGCGGGGGACAUUGUUAGGUGGGCAGUUUGACUGGGGCGGUCGCCUCCUAAAGAGUAACGGAGGCGUUCAAAGGUUCGCUCAGCUUGAACGGAAAUCAAGCAAAAGAGUGCAAACGCAGAAGCGAGCCUAACUGCGAGACUGACGGGUCGAGCAGUAACGAAAGUUGGAGUUAGUGAUCCGGUGGUAUGUGAGUGGAAAUGCCAUCGCUCAACGGAUAAAAGCUACCCUGGGGAUAACAGGCUGAUCUCCCCCAAGAGUCCACAUCGACGGGGAGGUUUGGCACCUCGAUGUCGGCUCAUCGCAUCCUGGGGCUGUAUUCGGUCCCAAGGGUUUGGCUGUUCGCCAAUUAAAGCGGCACGCGAGCUGGGUUCAGAACGUCGUGAGACAGUUCGGUCCCUAUCCAUCGUGGGCGAAGGACACAUGAGAGGAGCUGCUCCUAGUACGAGAGGACCGGAGUGGACGCAUCACUGGUGCAACUGUUGUCGUGCCAACGGCACAGCAGGGAAGCGAAAUGCGGAUGGGAUAAACGCUGAAGGCAUCUAAGCGUGAAGCCCACCUCAAGAAUAAGUGUCCCAUUCGAAAGAAGUAAGACCCCUGGAAGACUACCAGGUGAUAGGUCAUCGGUGAAAGAGCGGUAACGUUUGGAGCUUGAUGAUACUAAUUGGUCGAGGACUUGAUCU
rnacentral:rRNA from 1 species